UCAGUCUCCGCCCUGAGAGCACGCGCAAGUACCGCUUUUCGUGGCCGCAUCUCCGCACUGCCAAGGCUCGACCACCGUCCAAGAACUAGAGAUUGAGAAUGCUCACAUGACAUAAACGAGGGAUCUAGUGGCAAGGAUCCCACUGACCUCCCUAUAAACCUCUAAUACAGGCGCCUCCACACAUAAGUGUCCUGGCCAAGAGGAACACCAAAAAAGCUGCCAGACCGGAGGAGCAGAGGGUCUCCAGGGACCCCUGCAGGGUGGCAGGGGCUCCUGGAGGGCGCUUGAAGACGCUUCCCAGAGAGCAGCCCGUUGAAGGCUGCCAGAAAUUGUUCCUCUUCAGAUGUGGCGCCAGAGCUCCCAAGCCGUUAGCCUGCCCAGGGAGCUGUGGGACGCCAUACUUCGCUUGGCUCUACCCCUUUUGCGUGCCCUUCAGAUGGAAAGCUGUCCUUGUCUAUCCAAGGCCUCAUCUUGGAAUCCUGUUGGGCCCACAGCUCCUCCGGAAGAGAAUGGCCACUUCCUGCUCUGUGACAUUGUAGGUGUCCAUCAACUGCUUUCUUGGCCCGCUGUGUCCGCCACUGGAAUGCUGGGGAGGGGUUCCUCCCCUCCCUCACCCCCACCCCCAGCCCCACAGCCCUCCCUCGUCAGCCCUGGUGCCCCAUCUUCCUUCCUUUGUAUUUUCUUUAUGUGUUGAAUUCUGAAGAAUAAAGGAUCCUUGCUUUCCUCAUCCUUGCCCCAGGCUUAGCACCAC